GAUGAACGCUAGCGGCAGGCUUAAUACAUGCAAGUCGUGGGGCAGCAUGAAUGUAGCAAUACAUUUGAUGGCGACCGGCAAACGGGUGCGGAACACGUACACAACCUUCCUAUAAGUGGGGAAUAGCCCAGAGAAAUUUGGAUUAAUACCCCGUAACAUAACGAUGUGGCAUCACAUUGUUAUUAUAGCUUCGGCGCUUAUUGAUGGGUGUGCGGCUGAUUAGAUAGUUGGCGGGGUAACGGCCCACCAAGUCUACGAUCAGUAGCUGAUGUGAGAGCAUGAUCAGCCACACGGGCACUGAGACACGGGCCCGACUCCUACGGGAGGCAGCAGUAAGGAAUAUUGGUCAAUGGACGCAAGUCUGAACCAGCCAUGCCGCGUGAAGGAUUAAGGUCCUCUGGAUAGUAAACUUCUUUUAUCUGGGACGAAAAAAGGCUUUUCUAAGUCACUUGACGGUACUAGAUGAAUAAGCACCGGCUAACUCCGUGCCAGCCGCCGCGGUAAUAC
rnacentral:rRNA from 1 species